CAAGAUAUAGCUUACAAACAAAAGCAUCCGGCUUACACCCGGAAGAUUUCACCGCCAUGAAUAUCUUGA
rnacentral:tRNA from 1 species